AACGCACAUGGCGCCCCCCGGCAAUCUGGGGGGCAUGCCUGUCCGAGCGUCGUUUCAACCCUCGGUGCCCUAGUGGCCCGGCGUUGGGGGCCUGCGCCUCGCCGCAGCCCCCUAAAUCCAGUGGCGGUCCGCUGAGGCCACCCUUGCGUAGUAGCUAAACCUCGCAUCGGGAACCCAGCGGCCACCGGCCUCUAAACCCACGACAAAGACCGCCACCGCGCGGCAAGGUUGACCUCGGAUCAGGUAGGAAUACCCGCUGAACUUAA
rnacentral:misc_RNA from 2 species